GAUGAACGCUGGCGGCGUGCCUAAUACAUGCAAGUCGAGCGAACGGACGAGAAGCUUGCUUUUCUGAUGUUAGCGGCGGACGGGUGAGUAACACGUGGAUAACCUACCUAUAAGACUGGGAUAACUUCGGGAAACCGGAGCUAAUACCGGAUAAUAUUUUGAACCGCAUGGUUCAAAAGUGAAAGACGGUCUUGCUGUCACUUAUAGAUGGAUCCGCGCUGCAUUAGCUAGUUGGUAAGGUAACGGCUUACCAAGGCAACGAUGCAUAGCCGACCUGAGAGGGUGAUCGGCCACACUGGAACUGAGGCACGGUCCAGACUCCUACGGGAGGCAGCAGUAGGGAAUCUUCCGCAAUGGGCGAAAGCCUGACGGAGCAACGCCGCGUGAGUGAUGAAGGUCUUCGGAUCGUAAAACUCUGUUAUUAGGGAAGAACAUAUGUGUAAGUAACUGUGCACAUCUUGACGGUACCUAAUCAGAAAGCCACGGCUAACUACGUGCCAGCAGCCGCGGUAAUACGUAGGUGGCAAGCGUUAUCCGGAAUUAUUGGGCGUAAAGCGCGCGUAGGCGGUUUUUUAAGUCUGAUGUGAAAGCCCACGGCUCAACCGUGGAGGGUCAUUGGAAACUGGAAAACUUGAGUGCAGAAGAGGAAAGUGGAAUUCCAUGUGUAGCGGUGAAAUGCGCAGAGAUGUGGAGGAACACCAGUGGCGAAGGCGACUUUCUGGUCUGUAACUGACGCUGAUGUGCGAAAGCGUGGGGAUCAAACAGGAUUAGAUACCCUGGUAGUCCACGCCGUAAACGAUGAGUGCUAAGUGUUAGGGGGUUUCCGCCCCUUAGUGCUGCAGCUAACGCAUUAAGCACUCCGCCUGGGGAGUACGACCGCAAGGUUGAAACUCAAAGGAAUUGACGGGGGCCCGCACAAGCGGUGGAGCAUGUGGUUUAAUUCGAAGCAACGCGAAGAACCUUACCAAAUCUUGACAUCCUUUGACAACUCUAGAGAUAGAGCCUUCCCCUUCGGGGGACAAAGUGACAGGUGGUGCAUGGUUGUCGUCAGCUCGUGUCGUGAGAUGUUGGGUUAAGUCCCGCAACGAGCGCAACCCUUAAGCUUAGUUGCCAUCAUUAAGUUGGGCACUCUAAGUUGACUGCCGGUGACAAACCGGAGGAAGGUGGGGAUGACGUCAAAUCAUCAUGCCCCUUAUGAUUUGGGCUACACACGUGCUACAAUGGACAAUACAAAGGGCAGCGAAACCGCGAGGUCAAGCAAAUCCCAUAAAGUUGUUCUCAGUUCGGAUUGUAGUCUGCAACUCGACUACAUGAAGCUGGAAUCGCUAGUAAUCGUGGAUCAGCAUGCUACGGUGAAUACGUUCCCGGGUCU
rnacentral:rRNA from 1 species